CGACCGCUGGCGGCGUGCUUACCACAUGCAAGUCGAACGGAAAGGCCCUGCUUGCAGGGUACUCGAGUGGCGAACGGGUGAGUAACACGUGGGUGAUCUGCCCUGCACUUCGGGAUAAGCCUGGGAAACUGGGUCUAAUACCGGAUAGGAGCCAUUUUUAGUGUGAUGGUUGGAAAGUUUUUUCGGUGUAGGAUGAGCUCGCGGCCUAUCAGCUUGUUGGUGGGGUAAUGGCCUACCAAGGCGGCGACGGGUAGCCGGCCUGAGAGGGUGGACGGCCACAUUGGGACUGAGAUACGGCCCAGACUCCUACGGGAGGCAGCAGUGGGGAAUAUUGCACAAUGGGCGCAAGCCUGAUGCAGCGACGCCGCGUGGGGGAUGACGGCCUUCGGGUUGUAAACUCCUUUCGCUAGGGACGAAGCUUUUUGUGACGGUACCUAGAUAAGAAGCACCGGCUAACUACGUG
rnacentral:rRNA from 1 species